UACGGAGGGGGCUAGCGUUGUUCGGAAUUACUGGGCGUAAAGCGCACGUAGGCGGCUUUGUAAGUUAGAGGUGAAAGCCCAGGGCUUAACCCUGGAAUUGCCUUUAAGACUGCAUCGCUAGAAUCGUGGAGAGGUGAGUGGAAUUCCGAGUGUAGAGGUGAAAUUCGUAGAUAUUCGGAAGAACACCAGUGGCGAAGGCGGCUCUCUGGACCGUAACUGACGCUGAGGCGCGAAAGCGUGGGGAGCAAACAGG
rnacentral:rRNA from 1 species